GUGCUCACUUCGGCUGCACAAAUACUAAACUGGAAUGAUGCAGAGAUGUUUAGCGUGGCCCUGUGCAAGGAUGACAGUCAGAUUUGUGAAGUGUUCCUUGUUUUU